AUGGACAGCAAGGAUGGUGGAACAAAGUAUGCACAGCAGUUCCAGAGCAGAGUCACGCUGGCUGCAGACACGUCCACCGGCACCGCCUACAUGGAGCUGAGCAGUCUGAGGUCUGAGGACACGGCUGUUUAUUACUGGGUGCAGCUGCAGGAGUCGGGACCCAGCCUGGUGAAGCCCUCACAGACCCUCUCCCUCACCUUCACGGACUCUGGAUUCUCAUUAACCAGCUAUGGUGCAGGCUGGGUCCGCCAGGCUCCAGGAAAGGCGCCGGAGUGGGUUGGUGGUAUAGAUUAUGACGGAGACACAAGCUAUAACCCGGCCCUGAAAUCCCGGCUCAGCAUCACCAGGGACACCUCCAAGAGCCAAGUCUCCCUGUCACGGAGCAGUGUGACAACUGAGGACACGGCCGUGUACUACUGUGCAAGAGACACA